UGUACGUAAGUGCGUGUCCACGUAACUGCUUGCCAGCGUGCCUCCAGGCUUCCGCUCUCCCUCGAGGCGUGCCUCCGUGUGCGUACGCAAGUACGUGGGUACGAGCCUGCGUACGUCCCGCAAAAAUGGGGCGACAAGGUCUGCGGCCGUCACCUGUCAGCGGGUCUUUGGUGCGGGGCCCGGCGAUGACGGGACAGCCCCGACACGGACAACGGGGCUUUCUGUGAUGAGCAGAAGCAGCCCGUGAGUGAGGUGGCUCCCAUCCCGUGGGCCCGCCUGAGUCCCAGUGGUGCCCAGGCCCUGCUGACUAGAAGACAUGUUCUGGUACAUUCGCAGUGCUCUUGGCCUGCACCUAGUGACUUUUUCUUACCCCCACCCCGGGCUCCCCACCAGCCAUGCCCUUGUGCGCGUGAGGAAGCUAAGGCAAGCGGAACAGCCUUUCCUUCUCAAGCCACAAAGCAGGUGCUCUCUGCGCCGUGAGGCAGGAGGGCACCUUUACAGUUGCAUCUCUCUAGGGAUUCCGCCCACACAGCUCAGUUCUCCUUGUGAUUUUGUGGCCCUGAGGAGGACAGGGUUGCCCAAGAAACUGCAUGGCAGACAUUAGGCAAACCUGCAGUCCUGUCCUAUAAGCUAGUAGAAGAAAGAGAAAUGGCCAGAGCACAGGGGAACAUCUGGCCUCCUUGGUAAAUAAGCCACACGGGGUGAACAAGGUGACCCAAUGUCACCUGGCGGGUUGGCAAAGGGUAAGCAGAGUGAUGAUGCUCAGGGCCGAGGAGUGAGUGAGGAAACGGCAUGCUUGGCCCUGACUGCUGGAGGACCCGCAGGCGGGCCUCUGUGGAAGGCCGCUUGCCAACGU